rnacentral:lncRNA from 1 species
AUACAUCAUUUUAUUUAUCAAAGUCUUUUACUUAUAUUUGGUCUUUCCCAUAAGGGCACGAAUUUCCCUUUUAUUAUAUUAGGUCUUUCAUUGCUACAUGAAUCCUAAUUCUGAAUUUUGAUGAUACAAUAUUGUUUAGAAGAAGAUUUCAUGGAGAGCUAAUUCCCAAAGACUUGAUCUCUUUCCUUUUUUUUUCUUUUAUAUUCUCUUUAAUAUUUUUUAUUCUUUUCUUUAUACUCUUUUUCAUUUUUUUUCUAUUUUUUUUUUCCAUAAACUUUUUUUUCUUAUAUAUUUUAUUUAUUCUCUCUCUAUUUUUUUAUUAUCUUCAUUUUUUUAUAUUUUCAUUUUCUUUUUUCAUUAUUUUUUUAUUUUCUCUUAUUUCUUUUAUAUAAUUUUUAUUCAAUUUUUUUUCAUUGUUUUUCUCUUUUUAUUUUUAUUUUUUUUAUUUUCUUUUCUAUUUUUUUUUCUUUUCCUACCAACUUCUGAAAUAUUACAAACAUAAAUAUUCAACCCCACAUAACUCCAAACAAGACUCUUUCAAUCCUUUGAAUAUGACGAUAACAUUGUUUUUCACUUCUCGGUUUGUAAUGAGUUUUAAACAAAAAAAAGAGGAUAAUAGGCCCAAGGGGGUUUCAGACAAGGGAUGAUAUUAUUUCAGGGUUGACUUUUUGGCUAACUGGGUAAAGAAACAAAAAACAAAAUUGUCUUUAUCAUAUCAGUGUGCACAAGUAAACAACAACAUCAACAAG